AUCCAUGUAUCAUUUUUGUAUAAGUUAUGAAUAUUGGCUGUGUACUGGCUUGAUUUUAACUAGCCCAGUAGGGCAUUUUGUCAGCUUCUUGAGAAAAGUGCCCAAUCAAAAACCACUUAAUCCAACAAUGAACUUGAAGAUGACAAUUCACACCUGAGCCUUCCCAGGAAUGUGGCUUGGCUGGUAAAAACUGAGUCAUGCAUGGACACGUGGCUUGCCGAUGUGACUCAAAAACUCCAUCUUGGACCUGGACUUUGCACAGGAGGGGGGAGGAGGUCUCCAUCC